GGGAAUGUGGCUUAGUGGUAGAGUGCUUGCCUAGCAUGCAUAAAACCCGGGUUCAAUUCCUCAGUACCA
rnacentral:tRNA from 1 species